rnacentral:rRNA from 1 species
UACGGAGGAUCCAAGCGUUAUCCGGAUUUAUUGGGUUUAAAGGGUGCGUAGGCGGUUAAUUAAGUCAGGGGUGAAAGCCCGGUGCUCAACACCGGAACUGCCUUUGAUACUGGUUAACUUGAAUACAGAUGAAGUGGGCGGAAUGUGACAAGUAGCGGUGAAAUGCUUAGAUAUGUCACAGAACACCGAUUGCGAAGGCAGCUCACUAAGGUGUCAUUGACGCUGAUGCACGAAAGCGUGGGGAUCAAACAGG